UUUAUGUCAUUAUGCAAAACAUUAAAAAAAACCCAUCUUACGACAUAUUAAGUUUGUUAAAUGAAAAUAGAGAAAACGCUAUUUUGUAUGAAAGGUAAUUAAUAACAUAAUCCUUACUUAUUUGAGUGUGUAUAAGUGUCUAUAUAUAUAUAUUUUUUUUAUACAUUUUUUAUAUAUUUUUUUUUUUUUACAUUUUUUAUAUAUUUUUUUAUCUUUUGUUAUAUGCUGAUCGUUAUGAUCAUUUUUCACGCUUUUUCAGAUUUCAAAUAUUUAAAAACAAUUUAAAAAAGAAUAUUAGUCAAUUGGCUAAAGUGAAAGAAUACAUGCAAUCACUAUGCAAGGACACAAUCGAUUUAGACACAUUUAAAAAAUAUAUAAACGAAGAACACUUCGAAAAUGAAAAGGAAUUAACAGAUAUUAUAAAAAGAGAAGUUGAGAUCCAACUAAUUGAAUAUAUUAGACAAAAUCGUGAACUACUAAAUGUAUAUUACUUACCCAAAGUAUAAUUUUUAAAAAAAUUAACUUUCUUUUUUAUUUAUUUAUAAUUUUUUUUUUUUUUUUUGUUGAGACACUUGGAACGACUAUGACAGUGUCUAUACACGUAUGCUAACUCUCUCGCUCAUUAUAUAUGAAUACAUGCAAGUUUCUUUUUUUAUGAAAACUGUAUGUUCAUCGAAUUUUCAUUUACAUUUACACUUACAUUUAUCAUUUUUUUUUUUUUUUUUUUUUUUUUUUUUACGAUUACGAUAGAAUUGUUAUGCUUUUUCUUUUUUUUUUUUAUUUCUAAAAUUAAACUUACAUCUUAAAACUAAUGAUAUAUGCUUGUUUUCUAUUUUGAAAAAAAAAAAUGAUAGUGUGUUUAAAUUUUUUUUAAUUUGAAAAAUAUUUUGUACAUGUUUCGAUAAAGAGUAUUUACUCAUGUACAAGAGUAAGCAUACAUAUAUACAUGUGUUGUGUAUGUAUGUAUACAUACAUGAACGUCUGUUUGUGUAUCUAUAUGUGAAGGGUAUCCAAAUGUUUAAUUUAAGUAAAAAAAAAAAAAAAAAAAAAA
rnacentral:lncRNA from 1 species